GCCUGGACUGCUCUGCUUUCUGGCAUCUCAAAUCUUUUUCCUUUCUUCCUAGUAAUCUGAGAUCUCUCUGCCUUCUCCGGAGCUCAUUGCUCUGCCUUUUGGAUGCCAGCUCUGUGCUUGCAGGUCCCAGGUUGGAAUUUCUCCCCUGAGGGCAAGGCAUUGGCUUUUGUAACUCCUCUGGGACUUCACUCUCUGGAAAGCCCUGCAGGCCAGCCUCCUGCCUAGGAAGAGAAGAGAAAGACCUACCCCAUAGGGAUUCUUCUCCUCCCUGCCCAGCUCAAUCUGCCAAGCACCAAGGCCAGGCCCAAAGCAGGGAGCCUGGAGCCAGAGGGAAUGGCCCCUGGGAGCCACAGCCCCCCACCCCAGGGUUUGGUGACGUUCAAGGAUGUGGCUGUGGACUUCACCCAUGAGGAGUGGGGGCUCUUGGACCAUCCUCAGAAGGAGUUGUACAAGGGAGUCAUGUUGGAAAAUGCCCAGAACCUGCUCUC